AUAUAAACAGGUGGUGAGUUGGGUCUGGCACACACUCUCAGCCAACUGAUCGGUGAUCCUGCCUCACUAUUACUUUAAUCAAGUGUUAGUGUCAUCCCAGUACAGUACAUCAGUCCAAGAUGAACUUCUUCCGUGCCGUGGUAAUGUUCCUGGUAGUGGCGAUCUCCUUUGCCACAUUGGCCGAGGCUGCACCCUCCUUUGGUAGACGUAAUCGUAGCGGUCGUCGUGGAGGGCGGAGUGGUGGAAACAUUAACCCAGACCCCAACCUCGUCUUCACACCCGGCUUAGAGAAUCUCUACGGAGGUGUAGGUCCUGCCUUCCUGGGCGGAGUCUAAAACUCUCCAGGAGAAACUCAUGUUUCGCUGGUGUAAUACCUAUUUCCGUCGUGCUGUACCCGCACGGAGUAGUCCUGACGGAGGCCCCGUAGAGGAGAUACGGCAGCUAUCAGGUUGUUUUAGGUCCCCACAACAUGGCAUUUGGUCUCCGGGCAUCAGGGCUCCAACGUGCGUCAUUUUGAUGAGUAUCAGAUGACACAGUACGUGGAGCAACUACGUCCCAAGACCACCUUUACCCACAGGCCGGAAAUGUUACAGAGUCGAGUGAAAAAUCUUCAGAUUGUCUCCGACUGGUGACAAAAGCCGACACUUUUUGGCUGUUUAGUGAGUUGAGUCACGAGACGAGAGAAGUCGCCCAGGGCGAGUCUUUCGUGUGGCCCUUAUCAGUGUGUUCCUGACAGUGUUGAGCUGUGAGUAGACCUACGAGUCUGUCUCCAGCUGACAGUGUCGAGCUGUAAGUAGACCUGAGAGUCUAUCUCCAGCUGACAGUGCAGAGCUGUGAGUAACCCUACGAGUCUGUCUCAAGCUGACAAUGUUGAGCUGUGAAUAGACCUAAGAGUCUGUCUCCAGCUGACAGUGUUGAGCUGAGAGUAGGCGCGUGAGUGUCUCCAGCUGGCUUUCUUAAGCAUUGCUUGAAAAUAUCAUUUGGCUAAUUUCAGUUUUGCCAAGAGAUAAUUUACCGUUAAGUCCUACUUGUCUUAUAUCAAAAUAUGUCUAAUGUAAUAUGUCAUAUUAUUUUGUAGGAUGAAUAAAAUUUCUAUAAAGUGUAA
rnacentral:lncRNA from 1 species